rnacentral:lncRNA from 1 species
AAACCCUAACCAAAAACUUCAUCGCCGCUUUUAUUUUUGUGGCAAUCAGAGGUAACAUAGUUGGAUUCAAGCGAUGGUGGUUUGAUAUGCCGACCAUGACGGUGCUUUAGGGUUUAGAAGAUGCUGAUGCUCUGCUUGCUCAUUCAUCCAAUCUUAUAUCUCUCGAUUUGUUACAGUUAAACGCCAUUAUUGUUUGAUUUGCUUUCAUCGAUUUGUUUCGGUUACUAUUAUCGAAAAUUAGUUGUGCGUUCAUCAGCCGAUGAUGGUGGUGUUUAGGGUUGGAGAAACGAUGAUGGUGGUGGGCAGUGUGUUUCUCGGUUCAAUCGACAUGAAAUUAAAGGACGAUUCUUUGGUUGUGGAUCGGUGUGGAGUGUGGCCUGUGGUUAUGGCUAGAGUUUAAGGUAUUAAAAUCAUGAUGACGAUGAAACAAGCUGGAGAUGAAACUGAUGAGCUAACAAACUAGAGCAUUCCGGAGAAAGCGAUUUGGUGGAACGUUUUAAUGGAUCAAACUCCCCAUUCCGGCUUAGUUUAAAUCUAUGGAGAAGACGAUUAAAAUUUGGUGGAGACAAGCUGGGUUAAACAGCUAAGCUGGAAAAGGGGUUUAUAUUGGGUUGUUUUUGUACUUUGUGCUGGAUACCAAAGGUGAGAAACUAGAAUCAUGUGCAAGCAACAUGUUGCCUCUGUUCGCAUUAUUGCAUCCAUGGCGGAUGUAUCCUCUUUUCUUUGAAGAUGAUACAUUUCGUAUCUUGGGUUUGGAUUUGAGACAAUGAGUGCAACUGUCAUGGGUCGUCCCUAUGGUGCAAAGUUGUUAUAAAAGUUACAUUUUAAUGCGUGACUAUCGAGAUGCAACCCACGUUGUUGCUGCACGGACGCGAGGCGAAUUCUAUCAGAAUUGGUUCGUUAAAAUGGGAGUGUUGCUAAGUAUUUUGGCGGCAAUGGAUAUACUCAUGCCUGAACAUUAUUGGCUAGAUGCAGCACAUGUUCAGCAAGCACUUCAAAACAUACUGGUGGUUGUGAAGAUGAUAUCUAUAUAUCUAUAUAUAUUAAUAAAUGAGAUGAUUUGGACCAUUUGUCUUUGAAUGGUGGAGCCAUUUUCCUUAUGUGGCAUGUUAUGGUGGAGUGGAGGUUGAUUUUGGGAGGGAAGACACAAUAUUAGAUGUAUUGAGAACUGGACACGGGAUCCGAAUUAUAAUCGGGUCAUAGUUAAUGGAUCCUUUAUAUUUCUUUUUUUCUCAUUCUUCUUUCACACAAUUGCUUUUUACUCAUCCACAAACCCUAUAAAAACAAAGCUGCAACUCUCUCUCUCCCUCUUAUCACCACCGCCAAUAUCCUCCAUCAGUUCCACAAGAUCACAAGAUGACAACGUUUCCUUCUGGUUGAAGCAUCUACGAUCCAGACAAUACAAUCCAUCGGAAACCCUAAAUCAAUCGACGCCGCCACCACAAUCAUUCGGUUCUUAAUCAACCUCCGAAGAUGCCAUUUCAUCUCUGCGUUGGAUUCCCAAUUGUAUUUCAUCGAUCCAUCGUUUGCUCAUAGGAAAUGUAUUCAGAAAUGCUGCAAUAAGAAAGGGCAUAUAACCUGUGAGAUUUGCAAUCAGAUUUAUUCACCGGAUUACGCCCUUCCACCAGCUACAACCAAUCCAGAUGUCAUGACUAUUGAUAUCAGGCAUGCAUGGGGCCCGCAAAUCGAUCUCCGAGAUGCUCACUUCUUGGAUUUUGCUUCUGAUGAUCAGUUUCUUGAACCGGUUUAUGAAGAUUACGGUGUAGGAAGUAAUAACAACAAUGCGUACCUCCGGUUUAUGGCUCUCAUUUUGAUGUUAAUAUUGCUGAUACGUCAAGCUUUAUUGGUCACAAGAGACCUCGGGAUGCUGCCAGAAUCGUCAAAAUUCUUUAACAAAUAUAAUAAUCGAGAAUGAUAUCGGGUUCGAGAUUGAGGGCAGGUGCGGUCGAGUUGGAGUAAAUGGAGGAUUCAUAGUAUAUUCAUAGUUAAGUUGGAAGACGUUCAGAAAGGAUGCCUAGCUUUGUAAACUGCGAGAAAAUUAUUCGCAAAUCAGGGUUGUUUUCAACUAAUGAAACCAAGGAAGAACCCAGCACUACAAAUCUCAAGUAUAUUCUGAUUCAACGAUGGCGGACACUUGCGGGAGAUAUUUUUGUUUGUUGGACAACCUGUAAAUGGCAAUGUACUCAUUACCCGUUUAAAUAUAAUAAUCGAGAACAAGAUCGGGUUCGAGAUCGAGGACAUGUGCGGUCGAGUUGGAGUAAAUGGAGGAUUCAUAGUAUAUUCAUAGUUAAGUUAGAAGACGUUGAGAAAGGAUGCGAAGCUUUGCAAACUACGAGAAAAUUAUUAGCAAAUCAGGGUUGUUUUCAACUAAUAAGACCAAGGAAGAAACCAGCACUACAAAUCUCAAGUAUAUUCUGGUCCCAGUUUAUCUUGCUGAAUUGACUGAGAAAACUGGACACAAUGAUGACAAGAUAUAGAUUUUGAAGACUUUACAAUCUAAGUUGAAGGUGUUGUUCAUUAUCGAAUUAAGGUAUAACUUUUUUAACAUAAUGUGCCUAACUUUGAAUAUGUGGGAAUUUCUUUCAUUUUGUGAUGCAAUGGAGCUUCUGCCUGAAGAUGAAUCCUUACAAGGAACUCAUGUCGACAGGCGUCCUAUCCCGCCACCCCUCACCCCCCGGGGUGUUAUACGAUGAAAAUCCAGAAUCUCGCAAGAAGUAUAACGGGUGAAAAAGUUGGGGUUUGUAAUUAUUACCAUUGAAUGAUAAGAUUCUUUUUUUUUAUUAUUAUUUUUUAACUAUUAAAACAUUAUAUAACAUUUGGGAUGUGUUUUAACUUUGAAGUUUAUCAUUGUAGAAAUGAUUAUCGAACAAACAAACAUAUUAUUUUGUGGUUUAGUAGCACAAUGUGUAUUCUUACAUUAUUUGUUGUUCCACGGUUUCUUGAUACUUUCGUACGGGAUAAACUGGACGCAUAAGUGGAAAAUGAUUAUUGA